rnacentral:lncRNA from 1 species
CUUUGAGGCAGCAGAAUUUCGUAUAGCUUUUCAUCAUGAAACUGAAAAAUUGCAUAUUUGUUGAAAUUUUUGAAAACUGAAAAUUUGCAUACAUAGCAGAAAAAAAAACAUAAGGCUACUCUUAAGCCAAGACAGCUUUCAAGCCAACAUACUCCUGGAACAAUCUUUUGGCAUCAAUAUUUGUAUUUCCAGAAGUCAUCAUAGCCCAAGUGUCCAUCAACAGCUUCUAUUCACAACUCCCAUAACAUCUUGUUGACAAAAUCUACCAACACUAAUAUUCAAUUCUUCUCUUUUUCUUUUUUUCAAACAUCUCCAAUAAAGGCAGCAAAUAGCAAAUAUGAAGAGCAAUAUCAACACAAACCAACCAUCAACAACACAUCAACAGUAGCAGAGAAUCCUAUAACAACUUCACCAAAUUUAGACAUGAACUACACACUAUAACUGUCACAUCCCGACCCUUAUAUUUUUACCUUAUUUACUAGCCUGAUUAUAAUAAGAAUUUUACCGUCUCGAUCAUUGAGUAAAUAGUUUAAUUGGUCCCUAGAGGGGUUUCGGGGACGAUUAUGUGCGGAGGAUUAUUAGUAUGAGGAAAAUACGACGACGGUAAAAAUGGUAAAUUUUAGCUAGUAAAAGGUAAUUUUAUUCGGGUAUUAUUUUUCGGGGUGUUUUUAUUUUUUUGAAGUGGGUUGAUAUAGGUUGGACCGGUGGAGGCCCAACCCAUUUUUCUUUCCUCCUCCCUUUCUCUUCUUCCCUCUUUCUUUUCCUCUCCCCGAGCCUCCCGCUGCCCGGUUUUCCGGCUGUCCUCCCGCCGCCGUCCGACCUCCGUUCGCCGCCGGACCGGUCCCGUUCGGUCGGUCUCCCUCCCAGCAACAUUUCUAGNNNNNNNNNNNNNNNNNNNNUAUGACUUGGCCCAUCAUGCUGUUUUUAAUUGAUUACCAAAAGAGUAGAUUUGAUCUUCCACAAUCCAGCAUACUAGCAGAGCCACCAUUACAUUUCCUUUUCAGACCAGAAGUACCAACCAUCAAAUAAAAAAAAUUGCAGUAGCUAUCUUCAAACUUUUUUUUUAACUAAAAUCAUUAUCAAUUUCAAACAUCUAUGUAGGUGACUCCAAACCAUAUGCAACACCAUCUCCAGGGCAUAAGAAGACCAAGAUAUGUAAACAUCUCUCAUCACUCCAGAGCCAUAGAAUUAAUCACACAUCCAUUGUGUCAAGCCAAAUUCACCAGUCCAAAAAAAAUUAUAAAAUUCUUCAUCAACUUAAACUUUAACUUUAAACUUCAAAAUAACAAAGAAAUGGACAAAUGAUGAACCUUUGCAGAACAACCAAGACUAGAAAAAUAGUCUACAACUCAAGUGAGAGAAAUGCCACUCUGAAAUGGAUACCAAAUUCUGCAUCUUCACAACACUUUAAAAUUGCAUAAGCACAUAUUCUUGUAUAGCAGCCACUCUAAUAACUCCUCACAACUUUCCAUUAGAAGAUAUAACAACUCUAAUCAAACACUGCAACAUCCUUAUAACCACUAAGGGAAUAGUAGACACAAACUCCAAAUUUAACAACAAUGUGGAAAAAUACUCUAAAAUAAACAUACUCUCACACAAGCCAUACAUUCAGACUAUGAUCUAAUCAUCACGUCAAUUCACCACUCAAAAAAGAAAUAUAAAACUACUUCAUCACCACCUUCUUCUUUGGUUGACGGCAAACAAACUUUGACAAGAAAAAUUAAAGUGGAAAACUGAUAGAUUGAUCAUAACAGCCAAGACUAAAUAGAAAAUCCAUGAAUUGAGUGAAAGAGAUGCCAAAUUGGAGAGGUAUUACUAAUAUUGCUAAAGAAUUUGAUGCUAGCAGAGAUACAGGAGAACCGAAGCAUAGCAAAGUAAGACCAGAAAAGAAAAAUUGAUAUCAGUAUCACCAACAAAUCAAAAGUCUAGGGAUAUUCACUUUCAAAAUACUCAUCUCCCAUCCGGAUUCAUCUCAAAAUACUCAUUUCCCAUCCAGCCAGAUUCAUAUCACCAUCAAUUAUAUAUCAAAACGCUCUUCAAAAAGUUCAGAUAGCGAGAAUAAUUAAGCAGAAGCUAGAGAUGAUUAUACCAUAGUGAUGUUGGAGAAAGAGAUUCCAGAUUGAGGAAUUGAAGUCGGCACGAAAGACGAAGGAAGACUAGGUGGCAAUGACGAUGUCCGAAAUAAGGACUUCGUUGCUUCGAGAUAAGAAGCAGUCGCGCCUAGAGACUCUGAUUCGAGGCUUCGAUUUGAGAAGACACGAGCAUAAUAUGAGGUUAGGGUUUGUGAAUUUGGGGGAAAUUGAAAUUGAAAACAAAGCUAUAGAAUUCUAAAACGCAGAAGCUAGCAAAGAAACUCAUAAUUUGAUGCUAAUAGAUGCAACUAACGCACAAUAAUAGCACGGUCAUCAAAAAUAGGGGAAAUAUUUAGACCCCAAGUAUCGUACCAUGGGGAUUGAAGGGCUAACCACAAUCGUUGGGUAAUCGGCAAUAAGUCACUAAUGACAAAGAAAGAAAAUAAAAUAAAGAAAAAUGCUACUCUAAGGCACCAAGCCUUAGCGAUGCUCGACCUUGGUUCGCACCAAAACCUAAUCAAUACUAAUGCCUAGUGAUGGCUAUUUACAAUGAGUCGAGAUUUCGAAAUUGUGAUUGAAAUUUUUAAGUGAAAAAUAUUAAAAACUAAAUUGACAAUGAAAAAUAAAAUGAAGUAAAUAAAAUAGAGGGAUUUGGGUGCUAGGGAUCACUCUAGCAAUUUCAAUGCAACGAAUAAAUUUCAAGCAAAUAAUCAUAUCUGCAUGAGUACCAAAUCCCGUACUUAAUGCCGGUCAAGGCCACUAAGCCGAACUUCCUCAAGGAUAUUCACAUUUCCGAUUAAGGAAAACAUGAACUCUCUAAUUCACGGACUAGUACCAUAUCAAGGCUACUAAAACAUGAACCAAAGGCGAAGAGUCCUAGAAGUUAGGGAUUUAAGCAUGCAAUAGUUGCAACCUAGAAUGUCACGAUUACAUAGUUCUGUACCUAAUGCCAGUCAAGGCCACUAAGUCAAUUGCUCCUAUUUGGUAUCCACUCUUCCGAUCAAGGCAAUAAUGAACUCUUUAAUCACAAUUUUCAUGCCGUGUUAGGGCCACAACAAUAGGCCUAAAGGCGAAGAGUACAAGAAAAUAGAAACUUAAGCAAUCAUUAAUUCCCGAUUAAGCAACUACUUGACACACCACGCUAAUUACAAGAAGCUAGUGCACAAAAGAACCACCAAUUGAAUCACACAUCACAAAUCUUAACACAUAACAAAGAGAGUGGUCAAUUCCCUAAAUUCAUGCAUCAAGAAUCAAUAAGCAUAGUAAUUAGAGUGCAGCCAUAUGAAAAUACAUUAUAUAUUACCAUGCAAAUAUGUUCAUUACAUCAAAAUUGAGCUAGAGUUGGAACCCUAGCUCCCAAAAAGAGUUUUACUCACUACCCAUAAUAAUAUGCAUCAAAAUUCAAAGAGGAAAAAAUAGUGUAGGAGAAGCAAGGGUAGCCACAAUUAGCUAGAAAGCUAUCAUGACUAUCAUUGAAUUACAACUCCUACAAGUACCUAAAGCUUGAAUCUUGUAAUUGGAUGACCACUUGAAGCUUUGGGUGAGUCCUUAAAACUAAAACUAAAGAUAUGAAAGAAAAUGGAGGAGGAAGGUGGGAAUGAGAUGAGAGAGCAGCCCUAAGGCUGCCCCCAAAUAUGAAGUGCGGCUAGGUCUCUUCCUUUAUGCCCGGUCUCCCCUCUCUCUUUGCAAUUGGGAUCCAUUUAUACAAUUAUACAUAAGUGGUUGGCGUGAGAAGUAAAUAGAGAAAUGGAUGUGCUGAGGCGGCAGCGCUUCAUUGGUUGCCAGGAGAUAAGCACGGAUCCAGUGUGGUAUAGUGUGCGUGAGAGUGAGGCUGGUAGCAUAACUGAGGGGUCACGUGCAAGUAGGGCUGGGCAUAUUCUGAUCGGGCCGGUUUAAGGCCCAAACCGGAUCCAAUCCGAAUUAUUCGGAUUCUUAAAAUCUCCAUCCGGAUCCGGAUUUUUUUCACUCCAUCCGAAAAUUCGGCCCAACCGAAAUUCGGAUCGGUUUCAGAUUUGGGCCGAAUUUGAUCCAUUCAGUAAAACAGUAACAUUCUGCCAUUCUGUAUUUCACAAAAACCUUGCAACCUAAAACAGUUUCAAACACUCAAAGAGAAUACUGAGUCUCAUAGUCAUACUUCAAGGAGUACAAGCUUAUCACAGUCAUAAACUCAUAAUUCAUAAACUCAUUACAAACCAAGCAAAUUAAUUUGUCCAGAAAUAAAUAAAAGAGCAGAGGCUGCAGAGCAGGCUGAGCAGCAAGAGUUCAUAAGUUCAUAACUUAAAUAAAAAGGCAGACAUGCAGUAGCAAAUCCCUAAUUUUACUUGGUCUCUUCAGGUGAUGAGGCUGCAGCAUUUGUGACACCAGAUUUUGCAAAAACAAGAGAANNNNNNNNNNNNNNNNNNNNUGCAAAAACAAGAGAACCAUAUCAAACUUUGAAGACCAUACAAAUAAACACUUGCAAACACUACAAAUUUACAAGUUCAAAAGCAAAAAUAAUAAAUAGUUACCUGCUGUGAGCUUUUCCAACUCACAAUACUGCUCCAUUUCAGUCUUGACAGGCUCACUGAACAUUGGCUUGCUAGUGUCUCUCAACCAGUCACUAGUACAUACCAAAGCCUCAACCAUUUUAGGGGUUAGACUAGCACGAAAUAAAUCUAGAAUCCUUGAUCCAAGGCUGAAAGCACUUUCAGAUGCUACUGUGGAGGCAGGCACUGCAAAAACAUCCUUUGCAAUUUGUGACAGGAUUGGGAACCUAGCUGCAUUCUCUUUCCACCAACCCAACAGCUGAAAGUUAGAGUUCCUAGGGUCCUCAGAUGCCUCCAACAUAUACUUGUCAACCUCAGUUUUUAUCUCUACCACAUCUUUAGCCUGCCGAAGCUUCACAAACUCAUUCACUGUUGCAUAAUGGCUGUCCUCCUCUUCUGUAACUCCUUUUGAGACUGACAUGGGCUGAGUUGAAUUGUAAGAAGCAAGGGCAGCAUCAGGAUCAUUAGCAGCAUACUCAUUGAAAAGCUCCUGCAAUGUGCUCUUCACAUUAAUCACCAACACCUCCACCAACUUCUUGUCUAUCUUCAACUUGGGGAAAAAGAAAUCCAAGUACAGAAACUUGUACCUGAAAAGAAAACAAGUCAGUAAACACAAGUAUUACACUACUUGACAAAACAGUAUUACAAAACUGUUAAAACAAAGCAACACAGUAUUAUAAAACAAAACAGUACAGUCUUAGAACAAUACCUUGGAUCUAAAACAAUUGCAAUGAGAAUAAUUUUGUUGAUGUUUUCAACCCUCCCCCAAUAUUUGUCGAAUUUCUCCUUCAUUGAUUUGGCAAUUUUGGAAAGCAGAUUAUCAUUACCUUGCAUAAAAAAAAAACAGAGACAUUUAGUUAACAUUGUUAAAUUGUUAAAGACAUAAAAUGAAGACAGUAAAGCAAAUUUGAAAUAAAGUUGAGUAAUUUACCCUCGAUGCACUUGUUCAGCUCUCCAACCAGUGUACACAUCCAUUGGAUUGGCUGAUUGGAAGUCACAACUUGUGUCCCACUGAAAUCAAGGGUUGCCUCAUAGGAAAUUUUCAAAAACCUCACAAGCCUCUCAGCCUGGUACCAAUCCUCUGCAAUUGGAGGUCCAGCUUUCUCACUAAAAUAUGCAGCAAACUGUGGAUCCUCAUCCUCCAUCCUUUGAAUCGCCUUCCGGUACUUAAUAGCUAUGUCUAGCAUUAAGUAUGUUGAGUUCCAUCUAGUGCAGACAUCUAAAGGCACUAUCCCACCCUUGUGCUCCACUUUUUCUUGAGUUGCACAUUUCCUAAACUUCUCCAACCUAGAUGGACUCGAUCUAAUGCACUUCACACAGUUUCUAAUGGACUCAAUCGAGGAGUCCAGCUCUGCCAUUCCAUCCUUAACCACUAAGUUAAGAAUGUGACAGCAACACCUAAGAUGCAAAAACUCCCCUUUUAGGACUAGCUCAUUCCAAUUCCCUAUCUUCUCUUUCAUGUAAUCCAAAGCCACUUGAUUAGGAGAAGCAUUAUCAACAACAAUGCAGAAAAUUUUCUCUAUUCCCCACCCAAUGAGACAAGUUUCGACAAGCUGCCCUAUUGUCUUCCCCAUAUGGUUUGGUAUCACACAAAAGUUUAAGAUUCUUUUGUGUAAAACCCAAUCAACAUCAAUAAAGUGGGCUGUGAGCACCAUGUAAUUGAUAUUUUGGAUCGAAGUCCAAGUAUCAGUGGUUAGUGAAACUCUCGAUCUGUCCAUAAGUGGCUAAAAUAUUUUUGAUUGUAAUCCUCUCCGACUCAUACAACUCCCAAAUAUCUCUAGCAACUGUCCUACGCGAAAACAUCUUAAACUGUGGCUGAACUUGACUUAUAAAAUAUUUAAACCCAGGCCCAUCAACAAAACUAAAUGGCAAUUCAUCCCUAACUACCAUCCUAGCAAGAGCUAACCUACAUACAUCCUCAUCAUAAGACCAAGCAACUAACUUACCCCUCUUGUCGAAAGACUCUUGUGCCUUGAAACGAAAAAAAACGUAAAAUCGGUAACUCAACUAAUCGACAGUAUAAACUGUAUUUGAAAAUGUAGAAAGUGAGAGAAAUGAAAUUACCAACUGCUUCUGUUUCUUGGGGACCCUAAGUGGACACUUCGGGCAAUUGAACAACAGGUGAUUCUUCAUGUUACUGGUCCCAUUCGAUCUCGUAUCACAUCCAUAGGUUUGCGGACAGUGAUUGCACUUCGCUCUCGGCUUGGCGAGAGGUGUGCCAUCGAGAUUCUUCAUCAGGGUAAAAUGAUCCCAGGCGAUGUUGUGAUUCUUCCUCUUGGAUUGAACCGAGGAAGAAUUCCCUAACGCAGCAGCAGCAGCAUCAGGUGGAGCUUGAGAGCUGUGCAGCCUGUGCUGAACUAUGGAACCUGAUGCAGGAGUUGAUGUAGUGUCACAUCCCGACUCUUAUAUUUUUACCUUAUUUACUAGCUGGUUUAUAAUAAGAAUUUUACCGUCUCCGUCAUUGAGUUAAUAGUUUAAUUGGUCCCUAGAGGGGUUUCGGGGACAAUUAUGUGCGGAGGAUUAUUCGUAAGAGGAAAAUACGACGACGGUAAAAAUAGUAAAUUUUAGCUAGUAAAAGGUAAUUUUUAUUCGGGUAUUAUUUUUCGGGGUGUUUUAUUUUUGAGUUGGGUUGAUAUAAGGUUGGACCGGUUAGGAGGCCCAACCCAUUUCUCCUCCCUUUCUCUUCUUCUCUCUUUUCUGUUCCUUCUCCCUCCCGUGCUCUCUCUCCGCCGGAAGCUCCCAGCCACCAGCUGCCGCCGUCCGGCCAGCCAGCUGCCGCCGCUCCAUCCCAGUUCGGAGCCCCGCCACCUCCUCUCCCUCCCCGGCCUAGCCCCCGAGCCUUUAACCCGCCGGAAGAGGAGAAAUCCCGCCGGAGACGCCGGGAAGCAUUUCGCCGGAACUCCCCCCUCCGGCCACCAAUCCAGGCAAGCUUGGUACGGUUUUGUAGCCCUCCAACCCAGCAGCCUUGCCCUAAAAGGACUCUCCCUCUCUUGAGCUAGGUAAGGAGAAAUGUGGAGUUGAAAUUUAUAGGGCUUUUAGGUGUUUGUGUUCGAUUGCCCUAGUUAGGCUUAGAAUUUGGGUUUGUGCUGGUCAGGAAAGUUGUAGAGCAUGUUGAGGAGAUUAUUCUGUCAAAAUUUCAUAGGUUUUGGAGGUCGCCGGAAUUGGCCUCCGGCCGCCGCUGCCGGCGGAGGCGCCGCCGCCGGUUGGGAGAUUUUUAUGUUUUUAAAUGUGGAAUAUUAAGGGGAGUUUAUUGAAGUGAGUUAUGGAAUUUUUGGUUGAGUUUUGGAUAGGUUUGUGAAUUUCCGAAGUUUGGUAUUUUGGCGGUUAAUUAAUGUAGAAUCCGGCCGUAGGAUUUAAGUCGUAUUCUGUGGGAAGUUGUUUUUACGGCUGCCGGUAUGUUCGGCGAAGUUUGAGCCGUAUUGAGUUAAGAAUGGCGAAUUUGGGCGAUGAUGAGUGUGUGGGAGGCUCACGUUUAAUUUUGCCCAUUUUGUUUAAAUAUUGGAUUUUUGGUGGGAAAUUAAUUAUAUAUUUGGAACAGGACGAGAGGAGGCCCGAGCAGAGGAAGCCUCGGAGCGUCAUCAGGCUUAGGCCUAAUUUGUGAGUGGACCUAUAUUUUAAUUGAAAAGCAUGCGAUGAAUUAUAUGUUGAUCAUUUAAUUCUUUUCCUGAGAUUUAUUUAUUUCUCGGAUAUUUGGCAAUUUUCCUCUUUUGGAGAGAUCCCGAAAAUGAGAUUUUCAGUGGAUAUGUUUAUUGGAUGUUUAUGAUGAUAGUAUGUAUAUGUAAAUGUUAGCUGGCCAUACGUGCUGAUCCGCCAUAAUGAGGUAAAAUACCAUUAUGGUGUGACGUGAGUGUUAGACACAAGCGUAGUAGCCCUAUAUGAAAACUAUUUUUUAUUUGGUUUAUUUAGGUUUUCAUAUAGGGAGUCCACACGUAUAUACACUCGUGCUUUUUUCCGCCAUACUGAGGUACAAUUCCAUUAUGGUGUGACGUGAGCGUUAGACGCAAGCGUAGUAGCCUUGUAUGAAUUUCUAUUUUUCUAAUUUGUUCUUAGAAUUCAUACAAGGAGUCUGACGAGUGUAAAUACAUACACUUAUAUAUGUUUAUAUAUAAUUUAGCCUGAGAGGCUGUAUUUUAUUUAAGUUUUGGAGACUAGCCGGUGCUGGUCGUGAAGUUGCCAGUUUUUGAGUUGAGCGCUUUUGAGCGAUUGCAUGCAGUAUUAUUUUAUUUGGAAAUUAAAUUGGGGAAGCAUAAAGAAAUAUUUUUAUUUAAUUUAUUUUUGUCCACUCACUCUAACUGUUCCACAUGUUUUCCCCUGGGUCUUUCGUUUUAAAUUUCCCAGUCUACAGAGUUCAGGUUGGACCUAGUAGGAGACGAGGCAUAGUUACCCGCUUUUCCGCCAGUUUUCAGCAGUAGGUUACCUGUUUAACCUACUAGUGUUUUCUUGCUUCCGCUAGUGUCCAGUAGCUCUGAAUACUUUGGGAUUAUUGUAUAUUAUUCCGGUGGUGUGCUCGGUCGGUUGACUUUAUGUUUAGAAUUGCUGAAGAAUAAUAUUUGCUUUUAUUUAGCUGGAUAAUUGUGUGAUUUUUUUUGGAAGUGCUGUAGUAAAUGUGUGAAUUGGAGAUUUUUCGGGUUAGGGUUGUCCAUCUUCAAGGGAGGUUUUACCAAUCUUUUGGUAAAUUUUCCUUGGAGGUGGUCCCCGCACAACUUACUCCGGGUUUCAGGGUGAAAUUCGGGGUGGGUCGUGUCAUGUAGGGGUUGUUCCAUGGUUGCUUGACGAUGGAUUGGAUGGACCUGAAUCCAUCACCUAAAAGAAAAUGAGAAAUGAGAGAGACUGAGACUUGAGAGGCAGAUCGAAAAUGAGAAAUGGAUUUAGGGUUAUGGUUUUUAGGUAUUUAUAUGGAGGAUUCAGUGUGGGAGGGUUCACGGUAAAGAGUUGUAUGCACCAUUAAUGAUGCGACACGUAUAUAAAAAAUAAUAAUUAAAUAUUAAUAUUCGGGUCGGUUUAAUCGGGCGGUUUAGGGGGCUGAACCGGAUCCAAACCGGUUUAAACCGGUUCAGGCCGGUUUGAGUCAUUUUUCCAACAGUUUUUCCGGUUCGGUUAACCGGCCCGCUUUUUCGGGCGGUUUUUUCGGUUGAACCCGGUUAUAUUCGGUUUGCGUCCAGCCCUACGUGCAAGCUUGAAUUGGUGAAAUCCAUUGGUUAAUUGGAUUAACCAUGAUUAAUAAGCUGUUGCACGGGAUUUGCACUUGUAAAUAGGUCAAUUAACCAAUGUCUUAAUUAAACAAUUAAGCAUUGAUCAAGGUAUCCAUAAGUUCAUCUUUUUGUCGGGAAAGUCCAUUUUUCUUCAAUUUCACCCAAUUUUCUCUCAUUUCUGCAACUCCGCUUAUUCUCUAACAAAAGAAAUAAAAAUAGAUUAAUUACAUAUCAAUUGCUAUGAGGGUUAGCAAAUUCAUAACGUGAGCAUCUCCAGCAGCAUUGAUAAAUUGAAAAAAAAUUAGAGAUUUAUCAAUUUUUAAAUGAAUCUUUGCUCCAGCAGUAUACUUAAGAAAUUGAUAAAUUUAAAAAUUGAUAAAUUUAUCAAUCUUUGGGAGACAAUUAACUAAAACUUAGCUAAUGUAUACAAUUUAGCAAUACUGCUGGAGUAAAAGUUUAAAAAUUGCUGUUGUAAAUCUAAAUGUUGAUAAAUUUAGCAAUAAAUUUAACAGUACGAAUUAUGUGUGUAAAAAUACACAUAAUUAACUCAUAAGCCACAAGGCACAGGAUUGUGACCAUAUGACUCAAAUACCCUUAUACUCUUAACAACUUUUGGCAACUAUAUGUAAAAAUGCAUUAGAAGAUCUGUAUUUAUCUUAGGGAUUGUUGAGAGAUGAACAUAAAGUAUCAAACUAUACUAAUCCAAAUAGUAAUUGUACGAAAUUUGGAUAAGUGGGAAGAACAUAAGACUUCUCUUUUCACACACUCAAUUCAUCAACUUCCUUUCCCUUCCAAUGCAUCUCCAGAUUCACCAAAACCAAGCGUUCUCGACAUGUUAUCAGUUCAUUCUUAUCGGAAAAGUAGAGCACACGAUAAGCUAUUGGGGACCUUAUGAUGGAUGCGAUGUAGGCUAAGACGGAGGAGGCUAGGUGACAUUUUGGGGAAUGAGAAUAAGUUGAGGCGUGUUCUAGCGAAGAUACUUUGGGUCACAAGUAAUCAAGUGUGUACCAUGUUGAUUUGUUCUUGCAUGUUUAGGGGAGAGAGUUCUUCUCCAAGGCAAGGUUCUAAAAAACUGUCUAAGUGGCCGCCUAGGCGAUGAGGGAAGUCGGGUGAGGAUUUAGCAGUGAGGGAAGUCGGAUGGGGAUUUGGCGGUGAGGGAAGUCAGGUGGGGAUUUUGCGGCCGCCUAAACGACCUAAUGUUGACUUAGGCGCUAGGUUACGUGCGUGUUGAACUCCUUUUCUUCUCAAGUUAGAGAUAAGAAAUCGAAGUUAGAGACUAUUAUAAGAAGUUCGAGUCAAGGGAGAAUGGAGGACACUUGAUGUGCAGGUUACUUGUAGCACCCCAGGAAGGGGUUAACCUUAUUGUCAUGAUUCUAAGCCAACGAGAAACCGACACAUCUGAAGAUUGUGUUGACAACCCAUUAACUUAAAACCAAAAGGUUAUUUUAGAAUUUAAAACAAAUAGAACGAGUGAGGUAUCUCAUAACUUUCGUAAGUAUACAAAUAAGAGUUUUUAAAACCCGCGGAAGGUGGAGAUUUUAAAGGGCCGAUUUAAAACAUUGUGACAGCAUAAAAAAUUCACAUCACGAACAACAAUUUGGAGCAGUCUUAUAAUUUUACAUAACGAAAUAAGGAAUGCUUCAAAGAGGAAGAAGGAAAACAGGUUUGCACUACAUGAUCAAGACAAGAACAUUAGGCCAAGGGUUCACACACCUAGCUUCCCUUAGCAUUCUAUCAUGUCUCAGCUAAUUUUUGAGUUUUGCAAGCUUUGAGAGAUUAAGUGAUUUGGUAGUUUUCUAUCGAGAAUUUAGGUUGCGAGGAGAGAGGUUAUUUUAGCAUGGAAGAACCAAAUCAUUCUUCAUGUUGUAAUCUUCUUCUUGUCUAGAAUAUAUAUCCACCCUCAUCAUCAAUCAUAUGAGGAAAUAGGUUAAGUGUUAUGACUGAACCUAGUUAAAGUUCUUGUUUUUACUUGCAUUGUUUCUUAAUACUGUUUUCAUUCGGUUUCAGUCUUGGGCAAAAGAAUUACGAAGGUGACCUAAAUUUCCUUACAACUGCAAACCCCCAAUCCAAGCGAAAAGAUUAAUUCAAUAUGAUGAUUUACAUCCAUAUUAGAAACUCAAUUUUUGCUCAUUCUAAAUGCUUAUUAAUGAACUUAUUUGGCGAUGUCGUACAUAAGGUAAGAUAUGUACGAUUCAUUCAACGAGACCAGUUAUUAUUUGGUAUCAAGAAUGAAUUUAUUAGGCGAUACAAAUUUUAAUAUGGUCGUACAUUAUCAUAUAUAUGAGUAGACAUACAUAUUUGUUUAUUAUUUUCUUAAAGACGAUAAAGCGACCUAGUUCCUUCUCUCUUGAUGAGAACAUUAACGUCCUUACCCAGAACAAGGAGAAGUAGAAACACUAGCAGUAGCACUGCCAUCUCUUGAUUGUCGAGUACACUCACCGGUACUCGUAGAGGUGGAAUCAGAACCAGCCUCCUCAGUUUGUUGAAAAUACUUUUGCAAAUCGCUCUUCGAUCAACUUCUCAAACUGUUCACGUUUUUCCUUUUCAAUAGCUUUAACUGCCUUCUCUAGCUUCUUGACCUCUCUACGUUGCUUCUUCCAAUCUAAUAACUCUUGAUUGGACUCUUCUACCUCACUAAUAAUAGGGUUAGCAGGAUCCCCAUUGACACGCAGGUACUCGUUAUCAUUAGUUCUAAUAAAGAGG